rnacentral:rRNA from 1 species
AACGACGCUGGCGGCGCGUCUUAAGCAUGCAAGUCGAACGGCAAGGCAGGUGCUUGCACCUGCCCUAGAGUGGCGGACUGGUGAGUAACACGUGGGUGACAUGCCUUUUAGUUGGGGAUAGCUACUAGAAAUAGUAGAUAAUACCGAAUGUGAUCAAUAUUUAUAGAUGAUGUUGAGGAAAGGAGCUAAGGCUUCGCUAAAAGAUUGGCCCGCGGCCCAUUAGCUAGUUGGUAGGGUAAAGGCUUACCAAGGCGAUGAUGGGUAUCCGGCCUGAGAGGGUGAUCGGACACAUUGGGACUGAGAUACGGCCCAGACUCCUACGGGAGGCAGCAGCUAAGAAUAUUCCACAAUGGACGAAAGUCUGAUGGAGCGACGCCGCGUGGAUGAUGAAGGCCCGAAAGGUUGUAAAAUCCUUUUACACUGGAGGAAUAAGCAGAGUAGGGAAUGACUCUGUGAUGACUGUACAGUUUGAAUAAGCAACGGCUAAUUACGUGCCAGCCGCUGC